rnacentral:rRNA from 1 species
AAGCGGUGGAGUAUGUGGUUAAUUCGAUGCAACGCGAAGAACCUUACCUGGUCUUGACAUCCCGGAGACCCUUAGGAAACUAGGGGUGCUUCCAUCUGGAAGAAUCUGGAGACAGGUGCUGCAUGGCUGUCGUCAGCUCGUGUCGUGAGAUGUUGGGUUAAGUCCCGCAACGAGCGCAACCCUUGCCUUUAGUUGCCAGCAGUUCGGCUGGGCACUCUAAAGGGACUGCCGGUGUUAAACCGGAGGAAGGUGGGGAUGACGUCAAGUCCUCAUGGCCUUUAUGACCAGGGCUACACACGUACUACAAUGGCCGAUACAAAGGGCAGCGACACUGCGAGGUGAAGCCAAUCCCGUAAAAUCGGUCUCAGUCCGGAUUGGAGUCUGCAACUCGACUCCAUGAAGUUGGAAUCGCUAGUAAUCGUGGAUCAGCAUGCCACGGUGAAUACGUUCCCGGGCCUU